GACGAACGCUGGCGGCGUGCUUAACACAUGCAAGUCGAACGGAAAGGCCCUGCUUGCAGGGUACUCGAGUGGCGAACGGGUGAGUAACACGUGGGUGAUCUGCCCUGCACUUUGGGAUAAGCCUGGGAAACUGGGUCUAAUACCGGAUAGGAGCCAUUUUUAGUGUGAUGGUUGGAAAGUUUUUUCGGUGUAGGAUGAGCUCGCGGCCUAUCAGCUUGUUGGUGGGGUAAUGGCCUACCAAGGCGGCGACGGGUAGCCGGCCUGAGAGGGUGGACGGCCACAUUGGGACUGAGAUACGGCCCAGACUCCUACGGGAGGCAGCAGUGGGGAAUAUUGCACAAUGGGCGCAAGCCUGAUGCAGCGACGCCGCGUGGGGGAUGACGGCCUUCGGGUUGUAAACUCCUUUCGCUAGGGACGAAGCUUUUUGUGACGGUACCUAGAUAAGAAGCACCGGCUAACUACGUG
rnacentral:rRNA from 1 species